rnacentral:tRNA from 1 species
GCAUCGGUGGUUCAGUGGUAGAAUGCUCGCCUGCCACGCGGGCGUUUCGAUUCCCGGCCGAUGCA